GAGAGGAUUUGUCCGAACAGGGGAGCCGCGCAAAGGAGAAGACUGUUCAUCUUCUUCCUCGCGCGACUAGCGGCGGAGCAAGGGAGGCCGUCCUCCUCCUUCGGUUCGCUGCUCCCUCCCUUACAUUCCAACUUUUUUCGCCUUCGUCCUGCUCUCCUUUUUUUUUCUUUCGUUUCCGCCAGACUCAGCCAUAUAGCAGCUGUGAGACGAAGCUCUACCACCAUCAAUGCUCCUCCUCUCUUUCCCUCUAUUUCCUGUUGUUCCAAAAUACAUUACGGUCUCCAUCGCCAGUGUCGUUUGCCAUUUAUCACUCCUUCAACGCAAAACCGAAGAGUUGCAGAACGAACCCCUAUUCGGGCUGAAUCCCCUGUGCAAUAUCGGUGUUCUACCUGCCGGACAAUCUUAGUUUCUUCUCAAUCAGAAGCGGACCAUCCUUCUCCCCAUCGAAGUCUGGGCAGCCGUUGUAGUAUCCGGCGACGUCUUAGGGAAUCAGCACAAAUCAGGAUAGUAGGGAUGAAUAACGGGAAGAGCCGAUUCCCGGUAUCGGUUUUAUAGUGUUAUCUAAAGAUCUGAAUGUCAUAUAUGUUGAAGGAAGGAGAGUUCAGGGCUUUUCCGCAACCCAAGCAGAAUGGUGGGCUCUCCUCAUGGGCUUGAAGAAGGCUAUUAACCUGGGAAUUAAGAGCCUCUUAACCUUUUGUGCUGCAGCUACUGUAGUAAAUAGUUUGAAGGAAGAUGGUACGGUUGACUGGAAUGUGCUGCAUAUCCAAGAGGAAGUCAGAUCAAAAUUAACUUUUUUUGAUAGUGUAUAUGUAACCCAUAUUAGUAGAAAUGCAAACGCUGUUGCCCAUACUCUAGCCUGUCAAGCUUGUAAAUAUAAUGUUAAUAGUUUCAAAGA